rnacentral:rRNA from 1 species
UGCUCAGAUUGAACGCUGGCGGCAGGCUUAACACAUGCAAGUCGAGCGGGGGAAGGUAGCUUGCUACUGGACCUAGCGGCGGACGGGUGAGUAAUGCUUAGGAAUCUGCCUAUUAGUGGGGGACAACAUCUCGAAAGGGAUGCUAAUACCGCAUACGUCCUACGGGAGAAAGCAGGGGAUCUUCGGACCUUGCGCUAAUAGAUGAGCCUAAGUCGGAUUAGCUAGUUGGUGGGGUAAAGGCCUACCAAGGCGACGAUCUGUAGCGGGUCUGAGAGGAUGAUCCGCCACACUGGGACUGAGACACGGCCCAGACUCCUACGGGAGGCAGCAGUGGGGAAUAUUGGACAAUGGGGGGAACCCUGAUCCAGCCAUGCCGCGUGUGUGAAGAAGGCCUUAUGGUUGUAAAGCACUUUAAGCGAGGAGGAGGCUACUUUAGUUAAUACCUAGAGAUAGUGGACGUUACUCGCAGAAUAAGCACCGGCUAACUCUGUGCCAGCAGCCGCGGUAAUACAGAGGGUGCGAGCGUUAAUCGGAUUUACUGGGCGUAAAGCGUGCGUAGGCGGCUUAUUAAGUCGGAUGUGAAAUCCCCGAGCUUAACUUGGGAAUUGCAUUCGAUACUGGUGAGCUAGAGUAUGGGAGAGGAUGGUAGAAUUCCAGGUGUAGCGGUGAAAUGCGUAGAGAUCUGGAGGAAUACCGAUGGCGAAGGCAGCCAUCUGGCCUAAUACUGACGCUGAGGUACGAAAGCAUGGGGAGCAAACAGGAUUAGAUACCCUGGUAGUCCAUGCCGUAAACGAUGUCUACUAGCCGUUGGGGCCUUUGAGGCUUUAGUGGCGCAGCUAACGCGAUAAGUAGACCGCCUGGGGAGUACGGUC